UCUGCCUCCACUGGGACCGUCACGACCCUAAGUUGACUGCGCAAGCAAAGACCCUUUCGCAGAAUCAUCUGUGUUGAAGGCUUCACGGUUUGGGGGAACUGGCAGCGUUAGCGGUCAGAAAAAGCGUCAGUUUACGGAUAAGCGGAGCCGCGAGAAUCACGACCGGCAGCAUGAGCCCCCACGAGAGAAGCCAUGACCUCAUCCAAUAAUGCACGAAAAGUCCGUCAUCGAGAAAAUGGAGG
rnacentral:misc_RNA from 1 species